UACAGAGGUCUCGAGCGUUAGGCGGAAUCACUGGGCUUAAAGCGUGUGUAGGUGGAUCGUUAAGUACCUUGUGAAAUCCCACGGCUUAACCGUGGAACUGCUUAGUAUACUGGCGGUCUUGAGCCAGCUAGGGGCUACCGGAACAAAUGGUGGAGCGGUGAAAUGCGUUGAUAUCAUCAGGAACACCGGUGGCGAAGGCGGCUUUCUGGGUCUUACCUGACGCUGAGGAACGAAAGCCAGGGGAGCGAACGGG
rnacentral:rRNA from 1 species